rnacentral:rRNA from 1 species
CCUGUCCUACGGGGGGCAGCAGUAGGGAAUUUUCGUCAAUGGGCGCAAGCCUGAACAAGCAAUGCCGCGUGAACGAGGAAGGUCUUCGGAUCGUAAAGUUCUGUUGAAGGGGAAAAAGAGCGGAGAGAGGAAAUGAACUCCGAUUGACAUUACCCUUCGAGGAAGUCACGGCCAACUACGUGCCAGCAGCCGCGGUAAUACGUAGGUGGCGAGCGUUAUCCGGAAUGAUUGGGCGUAAAGGGUGCGUAGGCGGCCUGCUAAGUCUGGAGUGAAAGGUACCGGCUCAACCGGUACAGGCUCUGGAA